AUUUUUGUCAUUAAAAGCAACUCACGGCCUCCUGAACCUUCUUUGACGGAGACGGACUGUGGUCCUAGAUCACAUCCUCGGGUCUCAAGUCUGCGAGGACAGGAAGCACGUAACCGUCAGAUUGUACGGUUCGGGAGAACAGGUAGCUGGUUCCUGCAGGAAAGCAGAACUUGACCCAAGACCAUCUCUUGUCAUACAACAGCAAUCCUCCAAAGCUAGACGCGGUCUUCAUAUUGUUCACUGAGUAUUCAGAGCACUGAAGAGCCACAGGGGCAUUUGAAUGGGGCUGCUGUUAUUCCUGAUGGGGACUGCACGGCUGGCCACAGCGCGGACAGAACCACAUCUCCAAGGCAAAGAGAACCGUAAGGGGAUCGAUGCUUCAUCAUCUGACCUCUGAACUCAUGGCCCAGCCUUUCCUCCAUGAACAUUUUCAAAUGCAAGCUGUUCUCCAGAUGAGACUUGCCGUAUGUUCAAGUCCCGACACAGACCAGGACCCGCGCGCCAGCAGGAGCCUCAGUCCCUCCUCUGCAAGUGGAGACAGCGUCCGGUGCCCGCGAAGGUGUCGUGAGGA
rnacentral:lncRNA from 1 species